rnacentral:misc_RNA from 1 species
AAGUCGUAACAAGGUUUCCGUAGGUGAACCUGCGGAAGGAUCAUUACCAAUUGGUUCUCGUAACCAUAUACAUACACAAUAUACUUUUGUGCAAUCUAUUUGUGUCUUGGUGCAAGUGGGGAAACCCACGACCACCUUGACGUUAUUUGAUUACCUACUUUAACGUUACCAUCUGAUGACUGUUAAUAUGUAUACUUCUUGCUGAAAGGCUCGAAGGAUAAUAUAUGUAUAUACAACUUUUAGCAACGGAUCUCUAGGCUCUC